AGGACGAACGCUGGCGGCGUGCUUAACACAUGCAAGUCGAGCGGUAAGGCCUUUCGGGGUACACGAGCGGCGAACGGGUGAGUAACACGUGGGUGAUCUGCCCUGCACUUCGGGAUAAGCCUGGGAAACUGGGUCUAAUACCGGAUAUGACCUCCUAUCGCAUGGUGGGUGGUGGAAAGAUUUAUCGGUGCAGGAUGGGCCCGCGGCCUAUCAGCUUGUUGGUGGGGUAAUGGCCUACCAAGGCGACGACGGGUAGCCGACCUGAGAGGGUGACCGGCCACACUGGGACUGAGACACGGCCCAGACUCCGUACGGGAG
rnacentral:rRNA from 1 species